rnacentral:rRNA from 1 species
UACGGGGGGUGCGAGCGUUGUCCGGAAUCACUGGGCGUAAAGGGCGCGUAGGUGGUCUGAUAAGGGUGUGGUGAAAGCCCCGGGCUCAACCUGGGAAUGGCAAUGGAAACUGGCGGGCUGGAGUAUGGCAGAGGGGGGUGGAAUUCCGCGUGUAGCAGUGAAAUGCGUAGAGAUGCGGAGGAACACCGAUGGCGAAGGCAGCCCCCUGGGCCAAUACUGACGCUCAGGCACGAAAGCGUGGGGAGCAAACAGG